rnacentral:rRNA from 1 species
UUUAUUAAAAUUUUAAUAAAUAAAACCUGCUCAAUGAAAAUUAAAUAGCCGCAGAUAUUCUGUGCUAAGGUAGCAUAAUCAUUUGUUUUUUAAUUAAAAACUAGAAUGAAAGGUUUAACGUUUUAAUUUCUUUAUUAUUAAUAUAUUUUAAAAUUAUAUUAAAUAUAAAAAUAUAUUUAUAAUAGAAAUAGACGACAAGACCCUAUUAAACUUUACUAUUAGUUUAGCUGGGGUAGCUUAUUAAUUAUAAUUUUAAUUUUUAAUAUUAAAUAAAAUUUCCAAUUUAAUUGAUUUUAUAAACAAGUUACUAUAGGGAUAACAGCGUAAUAUUAUUUUAAAGUUCAUAUUUAAAAUAAUGUUUGCGACCUCGAUGUUGAAUUAUUAUUCUAUUUAACGCAAUAGUUAAAAAAGUAGGUCUGUUCGACCUUUAAUAUAUUACA